rnacentral:lncRNA from 1 species
AGGAGGACUUAAGACUCAGCCAAGUGCCAUUAUUGAUCGACGGAUUAUGACUCGACGACGACGAUCCACUACUGAAUUGCUAAUACAGUGGGCAAACCUACUAACAGAAGAUGCCACUUUGGAGAACUAUGAUGACUUGAAGAUCAAAUUCCCAAAAUUCAUGAAUCGUCAGCCUCGAGGACAAGGCUGAUUUGAAGAGGGCAGGUUUGUUAGGACUCUAGCUAGGAGAGUCCUAAUUGAGAGGGG